rnacentral:rRNA from 1 species
UGGCGAACGGGUGAGUAACACGUGAGUAACCUGCCCCAGACUCUGGGAUAACCCCGGGAAACCGGAGCUAAUACCGGAUACGACACGAAGUGGCAUCUCUAUCGUGUGGAAAGUUUUUCGGUCUGGGAUGGACUCGCGGCCUAUCAGCUUGUUGGUGAGGUAACGGCUCACCAAGGCGACGACGGGUAGCCGGCCUGAGAGGGCGACCGGCCACACUGGGACUGAGACACGGCCCAG